rnacentral:rRNA from 1 species
AGUUUGAUCCUGGCUCAGGAUGAACGCUAGCUACAGGCUUAACACAUGCAAGUCGAGGGGCAGCAUGGUCUUAGCUUGCUAAGGCUGAUGGCGACCGGCGCACGGGUGAGUAACACGUAUCCAACCUGCCGUCUACUCUUGGCCAGCCUUCUGAAAGGAAGAUUAAUCCAGGAUGGGAUCAUGAGUUCACAUGUCCGCAUGAUUAAAGGUAUUUUCCGGUAGACGAUGGGGAUGCGUUCCAUUAGAUAGUAGGCGGGGUAACGGCCCACCUAGUCAACGAUGGAUAGGGGUUCUGAGAGGAAGGUCCCCCACAUUGGAACUGAGACACGGUCCAAACUCCUACGGGAGGCAGCAGUGAGGAAUAUUGGUCAAUGGGCGAUGGCCUGAACCAGCCAAGUAGCGUGAAGGAUGACUGCCCUAUGGGUUGUAAACUUCUUUUAUAAAGGAAUAAAGUCGGGUAUGCAUACCCGUUUGCAUGUACUUUAUGAAUAAGGAUCGGCUAACUCCGUGCCAGCAGCCGCGGUAAUACGGAGGAUCCGAGCGUUAUCCGGAUUUAUUGGGUUUAAAGGGAGCGUAGAUGGAUGUUUAAGUCAGUUGUGAAAGUUUGCGGCUCAACCGUAAAAUUGCAGUUGAUACUGGAUGUCUUGAGUGCAGUUGAGGCAGGCGGAAUUCGUGGUGUAGCGGUGAAAUGCUUAGAUAUCACGAAGAACUCCGAUUGCGAAGGCAGCCUGCUAAGCUGCAACUGACAUUGAGGCUCGAAAGUGUGGGUAUCAAACAGGAUUAGAUACCCUGGUAGUCCACACGGUAAACGAUGAAUACUCGCUGUUUGCGAUAUACGGCAAGCGGCCAAGCGAAAGCGUUAAGUAUUCCACCUGGGGAGUACGCCGGCAACGGUGAAACUCAAAGGAAUUGACGGGGGCCCGCACAAGCGGAGGAACAUGUGGUUUAAUUCGAUGAUACGCGAGGAACCUUACCCGGGCUUAAAUUGCACUCGAAUGAUCCGGAAACGGUUCAGCUAGCAAUAGCGAGUGUGAAGGUGCUGCAUGGUUGUCGUCAGCUCGUGCCGUGAGGUGUCGGCUUAAGUGCCAUAACGAGCGCAACCCUUGUUGUCAGUUACUAACAGGUGAUGCUGAGGACUCUGACAAGACUGCCAUCGUAAGAUGUGAGGAAGGUGGA